GUGUCAGCAGCCGCGGUAAUACGGAGGGUGCAAGCGUUAUCCGGAUUCACUGGGUUUAAAGGGUGCGUAGGUUGACCGGGAAGUCAGUGGUGAAAUACUCUCGCUUAACGAGAGAACUGCCGUUGAUACUAUCGGUCUUGAAUACGGUGGAGGCGGGCGGAAUGUGUCAUGUAGUAGUGAAAUACUUAGAUAUGACACAGAACACCUAUUGCGAAGGCAGCUCGCUACGCCGUCAUUGACACUGAGGCACGAAAGCGUGGGGAUCAAACAGGAUUAGAAACCCUUGUAGUCC
rnacentral:rRNA from 1 species